rnacentral:rRNA from 1 species
GACGAACGCUGGCGGCGUGCCUAAUACAUGCAAGUCGAACGAGAGCAACCGGUGCUUGCACUGGUCAAUCUAGUGGCGAACGGGUGAGUAACACGUGGGUAACCUGCCCAUCAGAGGGGGAUAACAUCCGGAAACGGAUGCUAAAACCGCAUAGGUCUUCGAACCGCAUGGUUUGAAGAGGAAAAGAGGCGCAAGCUUCUGCUGAUGGAUGGACCCGCGGUGCAUUAGCUAGUUGGUGAGGUAACGGCUCACCAAGGCCGUGAUGCAUAGCCGACCUGAGAGGGUGAUCGGCCACAUUGGGACUGAGACACGGCCCACACUCCUACGGGAGGCAGCAGUAGGGAAUCUUCCGCAAUGGACGCAAGUCUGACGGAGCAACGCCGCGUGAGUGAAGAAGGUUUUCGGAUCGUAAAACUCUGUUGUUAGAGAAGAACAAGUGCUAGAGUAACUGUUAGCGCCUUGACGGUAUCUAACCAGAAAGCCACGGCUAACUACGUG